rnacentral:rRNA from 1 species
UACGUAGGGGGCUAGCGUUGCUCGGAAUUACUGGGCGUAAAGGGCGCGUAGGCGGACAGCUUAGUCAGAGGUGAAAGCCCAGGGCUCAACCUUGGAACUGCCUUUGAUACUGGCUGUCUUGAGUUCGGGAGAGGUGUGUGGAACUCCGAGUGUAGAGGUGAAAUUCGUAGAUAUUCGGAAGAACACCAGUGGCGAAGGCGACACACUGGCCCGAUACUGACGCUGAGGCGCGAAAGCGUGGGGAGCAAACAGG